rnacentral:tRNA from 1 species
GGCCCCGUCGUCUAGCGGUUAGGACACCGCCCUUUCAAGGCGGCAGCACGGGUUCAAGUCCCGUCGGGGUCACCA